ACGUAGGGCGCAAGCGUUGUCCGGAAUUAUUGGGCGUAAAGAGCUCGUAGGCGGCUUGUCACGUCGGGUGUGAAAGCCCGGGGCUUAACCCCGGGUCUGCAUUCGAUACGGGCUAGCUAGAGUGUGGUAGGGGAGAUCGGAAUUCCUGGUGUAGCGGUGAAAUGCGCAGAUAUCAGGAGGAACACCGGUGGCGAAGGCGGAUCUCUGGGCCAUUACUGACGCUGAGGAGCGAAAGCGUGGGGAGCGAACAGGA
rnacentral:rRNA from 1 species